GUGGCGAACGGGUGAGUAACACGUGGGUGACCUGCCUUCGAGUGGGGGAUAACGUUCCGAAAGGGACGCUAAUACCGCAUGAGAUCCUGCCUUUGAAGAGGCGGAGAUUAAAGCUGGGGAUCGUAAGACCUGGCGCUUGAAGAGGGGCCCGCGUCCGAUUAGCUAGUUGGUGGGGUAACGGCCUACCAAGGCGACGAUCGGUAGCCGGCCUGAGAGGGCGGACGGCCACACUGGGACUGAGACACGGCCCAGACUCCUACGGGAGGCAGCAGUGGGGAAUUGUUCGCAAUGGGCGAAAGCCUGACGACGCAACGCCGCGUGGAGGACGAAGAUUUUCGGAUCGUAAACUCCUUUCGAUCGGGACGAAAGACUGGUGACCUAACACGUCAUCAGAGUGACGGUACCGAGAGAAGAAGCCCCGGCUAACUCCGUGCCAGCAGCCGCGGUAAUACGGGGGGGGCAAGCGUUGUUCGGAAUUACUGGGCGUAAAGGGCGCGUAGGCGGCCUGCUAAGUCACACGUGAAAUCCCUCGGCUCAACCGGGGAACUGCGUGUGAUACUAGCGGGCUUGAAUUCGGGAGAGGGAUGUGGAAUUCCAGGUGUAGCGGUGAAAUGCGUAGAUAUCUGGAGGAACACCGGUGGCGAAGGCGGCAUCCUGGACCGAGAUUGACGCUGAGGCGCGAAAGCUAGGGUAGCAAACGGGAUUAGAUACCCCGGUAGUCCUAGCCCUAAACGAUGAGUGCUUGGUGUGGCGGGUAUGAUCCCUGCCGUGCCGAAGCUAACGCAUUAAGCACUCCGCCUGGGGGAGUACGGUCGCAAGGCUGAAA
rnacentral:rRNA from 1 species